rnacentral:rRNA from 1 species
GGAGGGUGCAAGCGUUAUCCGGAUUCACUGGGUUUAAAGGGUGCGUAGGCGGGUAAGUAAGUCCGUGGUGAAAUCUCUGAGCUUAACUCAGAAACUGCCGUGGAUACUAUUUGCCUUGAAUAUUGUGGAGGUGAGCGGAAUAUGUCAUGUAGCGGUGAAAUGCUUAGAUAUGACAUAGAACACCAAUUGCGAAGGCAGCUCACUACACAAUCAUUGACGCUGAGGCACGAAAGCGUGGGGAUCAAACAGGAUUAGAUACCCUGGUAGUCCACGCCCUAAACGAUGAUUACUCGACAUCAGCGAUACACUGUUGGUGUCUGAGCGAAAGCAUUAAGUAAUCCACCUGGGAAGUACGAUCGCAAG